CAACGUGAGCGACCUGCCAUACCUGUGGGGGGAUAGCCGGCCCAACGGCCGGGUAAUACCGCAUACGAUCGUUUGGGGGCAUCCCUGGACGACGAAAGCUCGUAAGAGCGCAGGAUGAGGGGCUCGCGGCCUAUCAGCUAGUUGGCGGGGUAAUGGCCCACCAAGGCGAUGACGGGUAGCCGGUCUGAGAGGAUGGCCAGCCACAUUGGGACUGAGAGACGGCCCAG
rnacentral:rRNA from 1 species